UUCUUUUUAUAUAUUUUAUAAAAGUGACAUAGGACACCUUUAAGGCUAAGGUGAUCAGUCAUAUUUUCAUUCCUAUUUGUGUAGGAAUACACAAAUAGGAAUGAAUUUCUAUUUGUGUAGAAAUAGAAUUUCUAUUUCUAAUAGAAAUUCUAUUGUGAAGGUGUGUUUAUUGAUGAAAAAGAAAAAGUUCAUAACUCAAGGCGCUUUGUUUCUGAAAUGACAGUUUUAUUGACUUUUGAAAUGCAUGACUUGCCGCUGAAUAUGACUUAUUCUUUCAGAUUUAAAAAAAAAAUUAAUUGAUCUUCAAAGAUUCAGACCAAUGUUUUUAGACGUCUUUUUACGUUGUCUAAAGUUAACGUUAACUGACUGUCCUCUUGUCUCCUCAGUCCAUUUCUCCUGGCCUAGUUGAGACUGAAUUUGCUUAUCGUCUCCAUAGCGAAAUCCCUGACAAAGCCACUGCAACAUAUUCUCAUCUUAAGCCGUUGGAGGCGAUAGACAUUGCUAAUGCCGUGGUUUAUGUCCUGAGUGCCCCGCCUCAUGUUCAGAUUGCAGAAAUGUUGUUGCGACCUGUGGAGCAGCAGGCCUGAUGUUUAACCAUGUGAUGGCUGCAUUUCCACACCACUCACUCUUCAGAUGAUCUUCAUCUGUGAAAUUAACAAUGUUAAUCUCCAAUUAAAAGAAUAAAAGUCUGAUUUUAAGGUG